rnacentral:rRNA from 1 species
AUGAGGCGUGACCCAGAACUGCGCCAAGCUACCUCCCCAACCUUCCACGCUGUACGGGGGGACACCGUACUCAUCACCGUCGCCGUCGACAAGCCUCUCCUCGCCCGGAGCGUCGCCAUCCAAUGGCACGGCACCGGCGAGACUGGCACGCCGGCGGCGGCCGAUGGCAUCAAGGGCCACACCUUGACGUACAAUUUCGUGGCAGACAGGCCGGGCACGUUCACCUUCCGCGCGCGCUACGGCCGCAACCGCGCGGCGACUUUCACCGACGCGCAGGGACGUGAGGCCUGGCCGUCCGCCGCCGGCGACCACGCACACACCGAUCGUGUCCGCGUGCCACGCAGCCAAGAGGGGCCUUCCGCCUGCCGACGAACACGCACCCCUCCACGGACCGCCCACCAAGAGCUCGUCUACGUUCGCGGUGGCCGGGGCCAUGCGUGCGUCGAAGCGCAACUCAUGGCAGGUAACACCACUAUCUACCUUAAUGACGAAGGCCCGGUUGAGUGGCUCCUCCGAUUGUCCGCCCUCGGAUUGACGGCCGCGGCCUUGUGGGUCUGUGGUGUAUGCGGCGGGCGGCGUGCCCCUGUUAUGCGCCGCAGAGGAGACGGCCCAUUGGACGUAAGGUUUGUAGGUCGAGCAAAUCCUCACGUUUCAUGGGCUCCCAGCUUCCCGCCGCCUUGA